GACGAACGCUGGCGGCGUGCUUAACACAUGCAAGUCGAGCGGUAAGGCCCUUUCGGGGGUACACGAGCGGCGAACGGGUGAGUAACACGUGGGUGACCUGCCCUCAGCUCUGGGAUAAGCCUGGGAAACCGGGUCUAAUACCGGAUAUGACUCCAUGACGCAUGUUGUGGGGUGGAAAGCCUUGUGCGGCUGAGGAUGGGCCCGCGGCCUAUCAGCUUGUUGGUGGGGUGANGGCCUACCAAGGCGACGACGGGUAGCCGGCCUGAGAGGGCGACCGGCCACACUGGGACUGAGACACGGCCCAGACUCCUACGGGAGGCAGCAGUGGAGAAUCUUGCGCAAUGGGCGAAAGCCUGACGCAGCGACGCCGCGUGAGGGAUGAC
rnacentral:rRNA from 1 species